ensembl:lncRNA novel transcript
GGGAGUGGGGUGCUGGGUUCGGAGGUUUCCACGGCGGCCUCAAAACACUGGGCCAUUGCUUCGGCAGAAAAUGUGAAGGGUCCCUGAAAAAUACUAUGGGGGCCCCCACACGUGCUUACGUUUAAGGGAGUCAGACCCCGGUCCCCGGAGCUGUGUCCCGCGGCUGCUUAACGGCGAAAGCUUCCUAUUUGUAACCCGAACCGUCUGAGCUACUGGGCAUGCCCAGUCCCACCACUGGAAAGAGUGGGCAGAGAAGAGAGAGCUUUGAUUCUGACAUGAGAGUCAAAUUUCAAAAUGCAAAGAACGAAGUGUUUAAAAAAUGCCUGGUGAUGCCCCCCCAGUACCGCCAGCUGCUGAGUGACCAUGGGCCACUAUCCAUAGGCUACACCCAGGGAGCUGGGAACAGCCAGGAGCCCCAGUGAAGAGUUGGGGAGAGAUCAACCCUGCCUACGUGGAGUAAGAACAGAAUAAAGAGACUAAAUCGAGGCAUUAUUCACUCUAGAAAGCUGGGUUUUUUCCUUCACAAGAGCACUCAGUACAGCUGGUGAAUUACAGCCUUUAUCAAGAAUGGAAAGAGCUCUCAGCUCUGCUGUAUAGCAGCAGGAAGAAUCUUUUCAUUUGUAUUUAACAAGACCUAAAAGCAAGCACUUCCACCAGGAGCCCCUACCAGCUUUGUGCUCCUUUCAGCUUAUGCCAGGUUACCCUGACUCUUGUACCCAACCUUACUGCAGCGCCCCUGGUUUGGAGCUCCACUUCCUUCUGUGUUAUAUCAGCACCUGCCACCUCUGCUCUAAUUAAAAUGUUGGUAGC